rnacentral:rRNA from 1 species
AACGCUGGCGGCGUGCCUAACACAUGCAAGUCGAACGGACGAGAAGAGCUUGCUCUUCGAGUUAGUGGCGGACGGGUGAGUAACGCGUGAGCAAUCUGCCUUUCAGAGGGGGAUAACAUUGGGAAACCGGUGCUAAUACCGCAUGAUGUGUGAGGGUCGCAUGACUCUUGUACCAAAGGAGCAAUCCGCUGAAAGAUGAGCUCGCGUCUGAUUAGAUAGUUGGUGAGGUAACGGCUCACCAAGGCGACGAUCAGUAGCCGGUCUGAGAGGAUGAACGGCCACAUUGGGACUGAGAUACGGCCCAGACUCCUACGGGAGGCAGCAGUGAGGAAUAUUGGUCAAUGGACGGAAGUCUGAACCAGCCAAGUAGCGUGAAGGAUGACUGCCCUAUGGGUUGUAAACUUCUUUUGUCGUGGAACAAAACCUGCCACGUGUGGCAUUUUGCGUGUACACGUUGAAUAAGCAUCGGCUAACUCCGUG